UAUUCAUUAAUGCUGCAAAUAAUAUUUCUAUUAUCAUUAGUGAAAAUCAUUAACUUAAAUUAUUCGUGUUAUCACUAUUUUUAGAUGACGGCGAUGAUGAUGCGCUUUUGAGAUUGAUAUGUAUCGGACUUGGAAUGUUUUGGUAAUACAAAUAUAAGUGAUGAACCAAAAUGCUCACGAUGUGUAGAGAUGGCAAUGAAACAAUGAGAGAGAAUGAGGAUUAUUGGCUCACACGGUCUCCAAGCCAGAGGAAUUAGAUAAAAAGAAAAAAAAUUGCAUUUUAUGUUAUGAUGUAGUAAAUUGUUGUAUUGAGAUUAAUUGCUUUGAAUUUUAAUUCCUUAGGUUAUGAUGCCAGUUUUGGUUGCCUGGCCAUUAUAUGAUUCAGGUUACUUAAUCGUGUUUUUCUUUCCAACAUUCUAUGAUUUCUAACACCGAGAGCAUGGCUCUUUCACCCCAAAACCUAAACUCCAGUAGUUGGUUUGUAGUUGCUUGAUCAUGGUUUUUUUUCAUUUUGCUAUAGACCAAGGAUGAAAUUUGGUGGCCGCCAUGUAGUUCUAAUCCUAAUUCUCUGUAACUAAUGUUUUCUAGUGAUUGCGUGCGCAAUGUACUUGCAACUUGCUGGGGGUAAUAUUUUAACUGAUCAAGAUGAGGACACACUCAACUCCCACAACAGAAAGAUGUCAACUAAAAAUCAUCAAAUCCAUAUGUUCACCAAAAUUGGCCCGAAUUUGGAUAGGGGUGAUGGGGAUAUGUGGUAUCUCACGGAAUUGAGGCCCAAAAUUGGAUACGAUUGAUGGUGCUAUAUGGUAUCUAGCGGAAGUGAACCAUUACUUUUCCUGCUAGCUCUUACCCAGAAUUGCCAAAGAGAUCGGCACCACUAAAGUUGGUACAAAACCUGAUUCUGAAUGAUGAUUAUGGUGGUUGUGCAGGUGAAAGCAUUUUGAACAGUGAGCUAUGAGCAGAAAUAUUUUCUAAUUUUUUUUAAUAAAAUUUUUACAUAUUUAUUUUUAGUUAUUAUAUAUUAUAAAUAAUUUAUAACGUCACGGUUCGAUAACGAUUGAUCCGACGGUUGAACUGAUGACCUGUGACUCGGUUCUUUUUUUGGUUCACUCAACUGUCCAAAUUUCAAAACAUUGCUCUAGAUAUCUGGCUACUUUAAUUUAUCAUAUUGUGGAUACUUGCUUGUUGGGUAAUGAGUUAUGACUGUUGACAUCUUUGGUUUUAGAAGUUAUUAUGAUAUUUUUAAAAAUAUUCGUACAUGAAUUCUACUAUUUUAUAAAUUGUUCUAUUAUCUAGGUGGGACUAUCCUAUAAUUUUAUUUAUUUAUUUAUUUAUUAAAGAAUUAUUAGUAUAUCUUUUUAUAAAAAAAUCUAGAGUGUGACAAGAAUGGUUUGGGGAGACUUUUGGAUGUCAUCUUGAAAGUUUUUUGGGUUUUAUUUUAGGGUUUCACGCACUAGGAUUUCUAUUAGUUGGUAUUUUGUUAAUUUAAUAAAUAAAAAAACCCUUUUCUUCUAAGAGGUGGGUAGAAUUUUUGUCAAGAAUUAGAAAAGUUUGCAUAUUUUUUAAACCUUUCUCAUAGUUUUUUCUUCCACUGUACAUUUCAUGUUUAAUGGCAUAAUUACCGCGAUGCCAUCUAUAUUUAUUGGUCAUGUUUGAUAAUAGAUUUUAAUUUAAUCGAAUUAGCAAUUCAAUCUCAAUACCCCCGAAUUAAUAGUCUUAUGGGAUUGAAUUAGUACUCUCUACGGAAUUUUUAACCUUCUAUUUUUUUAAGAUUAACAGUCCCAAAUUUAUUUUCUAUUAGUUUCAAAUUUAAUUUUUUUACUAGAAAAAUAUGGUUAAAGUUGUCCCGCAGAACUAAUAGUCCAAUUCCACUCUCAAAAUAUCUUGUCAAGCAUUUCUAUUUUAUAAAUGCAACACUAGGGGUAUUUGUUAACUUUGGGUGUAGACUUUUUAAGAAUUAAUUACAUUAGGUCCCAUUUAAGCAUUCGUAUACUAUAAAAACUCCAUAAUGGCUUAUUAAUGCCCAAAAAAUUAGGGAUUCAAAAUAACUUUUAGACCCUUAUAGAGUUAGAUUUUUAUUAGUUUAUAUUUUUUUAUUGCUAGAGAUUACAUUUAUUAUAGAAUAUACAUUAUUUAAUUGCUAUAUACAAAACGUGAAGAUUGUUGAAUCGUAAUUGGUAAGAUUUUUUAAUUAAAUAUUUGUUUUUAAAAUUAAAACAUUAUUCCACGGGAUAUUUUCUCAAAUUGUAAUUAAUAUGUUCUCAAUUUUCGUACUUAAGAAAUUUUCACAAAUUGGUAUGUUCUCAAUUUUUAAAUUUUAUGUUUGAAAAGUUCUUACAAUGCAUAGAUGAUAGUUAGUUAUUUUUUAUUUUUUAUAAUUUUACAUUGGUAACUUCCUACUUGUUGAAAUUAGUAUUGACAUUCUCUCAAUACAUAUUUAAAUUAAGUCAUAUAUUUUCUCAAAUUUCUAAAUAACUUCGUAAUAUGAUACAUGAUAACU
rnacentral:lncRNA from 1 species